ACGCUUGAAGUCAGUCGCAUUGGCUAGGAAUCAGUCUUGCUUUUGCUUGAUGUAUUUUCUGGUUGAUGGGUCAGCAUCAAUUUUGAUCGCUGGAUAAAGUCUUUGGGAAUGUGGCAUCUUUGGAUGUGUUAUAGCCCAUUGUUGCAUACAGUGAUUGGGAUUGAGGAACUCAGCACGCUGUAAUGGCCGGGUCUUUUUGACCACGUCCGUGCUUAGGAUGCUGGCAUAAUGGCUUUAAUCGACCCGUCUUGAAACACGGACCAAGGAGUC
rnacentral:rRNA from 1 species